AGUGAACGCUGGCGGUAGGCCUAACACAUGCAAGUCGAACGGCAGCACAGUAAGAGCUUGCUCUUACGGGUGGCGAGUGGCGGACGGGUGAGGAAUACAUCGGAAUCUACUUUUUCGGGGGGGAUAACGUAGGGAAACUUACGCUAAUACCGCAUACGACCUACGGGUGAAAGCAGGGGAUCUUCGGACCUUGCGCGAUUGAAUGAGCCGAUGUCGGAUUAGCUAGUUGGCGGGGUAAAGGCCCACCAAGGCGACGAUCCGUAGCUGGUCUGAGAGGAUGAUCAGCCACACUGGAACUGAGCCACGGUCCAGACUCCUACGGGAGGCAGCAGUGGGGAAUAUUGGACAAUGGGCGCAAGCCUGAUCCAGCCAUACCGCGUGGGUGAAGAAGGCCUUCGGGUUGUAAAGCCCUUUUGUUGGGAAAGAAAAGCAGCAGGUUAAUACCCCGCUGUUCUGACGGUACCCAAAGAAUAAGCACCGGCUAACUUCGUG
rnacentral:rRNA from 1 species